rnacentral:rRNA from 1 species
AUUGAACGCUGGCGGCAUGCCUUACACAUGCAAGUCGAACGGCAGCGCGGGGCAACCUGGCGGCGAGUGGCGAACGGGUGAGUAAUAUAUCGGAACAUACCCUAGAGUGGGGGAUAACGUAGCGAAAGUUACGCUAAUACCGCAUACGCACUAAGGUGGAAAGUGGGGGAUUCGCAAGAACCUCAUGCUCAUGGAGUGGCCGAUAUCUGAUUAGCUAGUUGGUGAGGUAAAGGCUCACCAAGGCGACGAUCAGUAGCUGGUUUGAGAGAACGACCAGCCACACUGGAACUGAGACACGGUCCAGACUCCUACGGGAGGCAGCAGUGGGGAAUUUUGGACAAUGGGGGCAACCCUGAUCCAGCAAUGCCGCGUGAGUGAAGAAGGCCU